rnacentral:rRNA from 1 species
GGCUCAGAACGAACGCUGGCGGCGCGUUUAAGCAUGCAAGUCGAGCGGCAAGGGCCUUCGGGCCCCUAGAGCGGCGGACGGGUGAGUAACACGUGGACAAUCUGCCCCCCGGCCCGGGAUAGCCCAGGGAAACCUGGAUUAAUACCGGAUGAGACGGGACCCGCGAUGGCGGGACCCGGGAAAGGCGCUGCGGCGCCGCCGGGGGAUGAGUCUGCGUCCCAUUAGCUAGACGGCGGGGUAACGGCCCACCGUGGCGACGAUGGGUAGCCGGCCUGAGAGGGUGGACGGCCACAUUGGAACUGAGACACGGUCCAGACUCCUACGGGAGGCAGCAGCUAAGAAUCUUCCGCAAUGGGCGAAAGCCUGACGGAGCGACGCCGCGUGAACGAAGAAGGCCGUGAGGUUGUAAAGUUCUUUUCGGGAGGGGGAACAACCGUGGCAGGGAAUGGCCGCGGGAUGACGUGAAUCCCGGAAUAAGCCCCGGCUAACUACGUGCCAGCAGCAGC